AUGUUUUACGCUACGUCUAUUAUUGAAACCCAAAUUCUCUCCACUUUGUCGUAUCACCUUCAUCAGUCAAUGCUAUUUUUGGCUUUGAUUAGGUUCACCUCCGUAUUCCUUCCCUCUCUCUAAUCUUCUCCAAUAAAAAUCCAUGGAACUCUUCAGCUCCCCCUCUCUUCUCAUUCUAUCGAUAUCUCUGUAAAUAAUUGAUGCCAGGAUCGGGAAUCAAACAUCGCUUACUCGCUUAUUGUGUCUCUCAACCGGCUAAUCUUUAAUUCCACUGUUGAAAAUGUCUGCUUCCGAUGCUAUUUCUGUCCAGACAGAUGUUACCAAGGCCAACUUUGACGAUCUCCACGCUCUUGCAAAUACGAACUUAUAACUCCCCGAUGUUGAACAAAUAUGUUUCAUGUAAGGCUAUGACCUCAACUAGGCGGCAGCAACGAAUCGUUUGUCGUCCGUUUUUUCAUUGAGCUUUUGGUCAUGCUGUAUUUGUCUUUGUGGGAUGGCGCAGCCACAAGUUUUGGGGGAAUUUGUGCUCAGGCUAUACUACCCACUCUGUCAUGGUGGUCAUCACGGUGAAUCCUAAAAUUUUUGGAGGUAUUGGUAGGACAGAAGAGGUCCUCCCACGUGUUGAGAUCUUCACAGUGCCUCUCCAAAGUCCAACGACUAGGCUAGAUCGUCGGUGUCCUCCAGCAAAAUGGUUGGUCGACAGAAGAGGUCUUCUGUCGCUUGCACUGGUUGCAGAAGGAGAUUGGACAAAUCCAAGACUUCACUACAGUGCAAUAGAUGUGUUUCACCAAACGUCACUGGAGUCAUCAGGUUCCAUGUCGAGUAGCCUUUAGAUGAUGGCUACGAAAAUGCUGUAUUUGUGGUGUCUGACACGGAGAUGACCAAACAGACCAAGAAAAAUGCAGCCACAAUGGCUCUUGAGGAGGUUAGUUUCCACCCCAGCACUCCAUUCAUCUUAUAUUUUUAAAAUGGUCAAGGUUGCUCUCAUUGACUCACUAAACUUAAACCUAUUUUAAUUUUACUCCCAACCACUGAACCUUCACCGUCUCUUCAAUCACUGAAGAUGUGGCUCUCAACACACAUUCAGAGGUUGCAAGCAGCAGCAAAGCACCACAGGUGUACGACUAAUCGGAACAACCACCAGCAUCUGGCAACUUCACAUGUGAUGCAUACACGAAAGAAAUGGACGGUGAGGCAGCAAAACCAACCAAGCUUUGGAGACGAUGAGAACACCCGCAAGCGCCUGUGAGUAAUAUUUUCAAGUCCAACAAUGUCAUUCCCACUUAACUUCUGUACCUUAAAUAACUAUUUUCCAUGUUUUUUAUUUUUCCAGCUUUGUUUUUUUUUUGAAUUAUCUUCUGCUUAACUGUUACUUGGUUUUAAAAUAAAGUUUUUUUAAUAAAGGGAACGUUGACGGGAAUUUGCAUAUUGGGAAAAAGGCUUUGUUUCACUUUGUGCAUGAAUACAUAUUCAGAUAGUAAAACAGCCAUCAACCUCAAUAUGAUAAGAAUCUGAUGCCGUCUUAUUUUUAAAAGGACCACCACAAUUUGACUAACAUAUUCGAGAGGUUUGAUGGCGAGGUAUUCGGAGUACAACAACACACAAGCCCACUUCAUCAAAGAGUUGAAUACUUACAUGCUAAAAAAAUAAAAAUCUUGGUUUCUAUCACUUCUCAAGAAAACAACCCAAAAUAUGUGCUCAUCCUCUUAGUAAAUCUAUUUCUGAAUCUGAAGUUUGGUAAUGUAUUUAAACUAUCUCCUACUCGGUGAAUAGUUACUUUUAUUUUAAAUAAAGAGGAACGUUGACGUGUCUU